rnacentral:rRNA from 1 species
AUACGAAGGGGGCUAACGUUGUUCGGAAUUACUGGGCGUAAAGCGCGCGUAGGCGGAUUGGUCAGUUAGGGGUGAAAUCCCAGGGCUUAACCCUGGAACUGCCUCUAAUACUGCCAGUCUUGAGUUCGGGAGAGGUGAGUGGAAUUCCUAGUGUAGAGGUGAAAUUCGUAGAUAUUAGGAAGAACACCAGUGGCGAAGGCGGCUCACUGGCCCGAUACUGACGCUGAGGCGCGAAAGCGUGGGGAGCAAACAGGAUUAGAAACCCGAGUAGUCC